rnacentral:rRNA from 1 species
AUUGAACGCUGGCGGCAGGCCUAACACAUGCAAGUCGAACGAGCGGCGGACGGGUGAGUAAUGUGUGGGAAACCGCCUGAUGGAGGGGGAUAACUACUGGAAACGGUAGCUAAAACCGCAUACCACCAGCAGUGACCAGAUGGGAUUAGCUCGUGGGUGGGGUAACGGGUCACCUAGGCGACGAUCCCUAGCUGGUCUGCGAGGAUGACCAGCCACACUGGAACUGAGACACGGUCCAGACUCCUACGGGAGGCAGCAGUGGGGAAUAUUGCACAAUGGGCGCAAGCCUGAUGCAGCCAUGCCGCGUGUAUGAAGAAGGCCUUCGGGUUGUAAAGUACUUUCAGCGGGGAGGCGUUACCCGCAGAAGAAGCACCGGCUAACUCCGUGCCAGCCGCCGCGGUAAUUC